rnacentral:rRNA from 1 species
GACGAACCGUGCGAACGUUAUUCGGAAUCACUGGGCUUAAAGCGCGUGUAGGCGGGACGGCACGUCGGUUGCUGAAAGCCCCCGGCUCAACCGGGGAACGGGCGCCGAUACGACCGUCCUGGAGGGACGUAGGGGGACCUGGAACAUCCGGUGGAGCGGUGAAAUGCGUUGAGAUCGGAUGGAACGCCCGUGGCGAAAGCGAGGUCCUGGACGUUUUCUGACGCUGAGACGCGAAAGCCAGGGGAGCGAACGGG